rnacentral:rRNA from 1 species
GGGUUGUGAGGUUAAGCGACUAAGCGUACACGGUGGAUGCCCUGGCAGUCAGAGGCGAUGAAGGACGUGCUAAUCUGCGAUAAGCGCCGGUAAGGUGAUAUGAACCGUUAUAACCGGCGAUUUCCGAAUGGGGAAACCCAGUGUGACUCGUCACACUAUCAUUAACUGAAUCCAUAGGUUAAUGAGGCGAACCGGGGGAACUGAAACAUCUAAGUACCCCGAGGAAAAGAAAUCAACCGAGAUUCCCCCAGUAGCGGCGAGCGAACGGGGAGGAGCCCAGAGCCUGAAUCAGCAUGUGUGUUAGUGGAAGCGUCUGGAAAGGCGCGCGAUACAGGGUGACAGCCCCGUACACAAAAGCGCAUGUGCUGUGAGCUCGAUGAGUAGGGCGGGACACGUGGUAUCCUGUCUGAAUAUGGGGGGACCAUCCUCCAAGGCUAAAUACUCCUGACUGACCGAUAGUGAACCAGUACCGUGAGGGAAAGGCGAAAAGAACCCCGGCGAGGGGAGUGAAAAAGAACCUGAAACCGUGUACGUACAAGCAGUGGGAGCACCCUUUGGGGUGUGACUGCGUACCUUUUGUAUAAUGGGUCAGCGACUUAUAUUCUGUAGCAAGGUUAACCGAAUAGGGGAGCCGGAGGGAAACCGAGUCUUAAUUGGGCGUUAAGUUGCAGGGUAUAGACCCGAAACCCGGUGAUCUAGCCAUGGGCAGGUUGAAGGUUGGGUAACACUAACUGGAGGACCGAACCGACUAAUGUUGAAAAAUUAGCGGAUGACCUGUGGCUGGGGGUGAAAGGCCAAUCAAACCGGGAGAUAGCUGGUUCUCCCCGAAAGCUAUUUAGGUAGCGCCUCGUGAAUUCAUCUCCGGGGGUAGAGCACUGUUUCGGCUAGGGGGCCAUCCCGGCUUACCAACCCGAUGCAAACUGCGAAUACCGGAGAAUGUUAUCACGGGAGACACACGGCGGGUGCUAACGUCCGUCGUGAAGAGGGAAACAACCCAGACCGCCAGCUAAGGUCCCAAAGUCAUGGUUAAGUGGGAAACGAUGUGGGAAGGCCCAGACAGCCAGGAUGUUGGCUUAGAAGCAGCCAUCAUUUAAAGAAAGCGUAAUAGCUCACUGGUCGAGUCGGCCUGCGCGGAAGAUGUAACGGGGCUAAACCAUGCACCGAAGCUGCGGCAGCGACGCUUAUGCGUUGUUGGGUAGGGGAGCGUUCUGUAAGCCUGUGAAGGUGGCCUGUGAGGGUUGCUGGAGGUAUCAGAAGUGCGAAUGCUGACAUAAGUAACGAUAAAGCGGGUGAAAAGCCCGCUCGCCGGAAGACCAAGGGUUCCUGUCCAACGUUAAUCGGGGCAGGGUGAGUCGACCCCUAAGGCGAGGCCGAAAGGCGUAGUCGAUGGGAAACGGGUUAAUAUUCCCGUACUUGGUGUUACUGCGAAGGGGGGACGGAGAAGGCUAUGUUGGCCGGGCGACGGUUGUCCCGGUUUAAGCGUGUAGGCUGGUUUUCCAGGCAAAUCCGGAAAAUCAAGGCUGAGGCGUGAUGACGAGGCACUACGGUGCUGAAGCAACAAAUGCCCUGCUUCCAGGAAAAGCCUCUAAGCAUCAGGUAACACGAAAUCGUACCCCAAACCGACACAGGUGGUCAGGUAGAGAAUACCAAGGCGCUUGAGAGAACUCGGGUGAAGGAACUAGGCAAAAUGGUGCCGUAACUUCGGGAGAAGGCACGCUGACACGUAGGUGAAGUGAUUUACUCAUGGAGCUGAAGUCAGUCGAAGAUACCAGCUGGCUGCAACUGUUUAUUAAAAACACAGCACUGUGCAAACACGAAAGUGGACGUAUACGGUGUGACGCCUGCCCGGUGCCGGAAGGUUAAUUGAUGGGGUCAGCGCAAGCGAAGCUCCUGAUCGAAGCCCCGGUAAACGGCGGCCGUAACUAUAACGGUCCUAAGGUAGCGAAAUUCCUUGUCGGGUAAGUUCCGACCUGCACGAAUGGCGUAAUGAUGGCCAGGCUGUCUCCACCCGAGACUCAGUGAAAUUGAACUCGCUGUGAAGAUGCAGUGUACCCGCGGCAAGACGGAAAGACCCCGUGAACCUUUACUAUAGCUUGACACUGAACAUUGAGCCUUGAUGUGUAGGAUAGGUGGGAGGCUUUGAAGCGUGGACGCCAGUCUGCGUGGAGCCGACCUUGAAAUACCACCCUUUAAUGUUUGAUGUUCUAACGUGGACCCGUAAUCCGGGUUGCGGACAGUGUCUGGUGGGUAGUUUGACUGGGGCGGUCUCCUCCUAAAGAGUAACGGAGGAGCACGAAGGUUGGCUAAUCCUGGUCGGACAUCAGGAGGUUAGUGCAAUGGCAUAAGCCAGCUUGACUGCGAGCGUGACGGCGCGAGCAGGUGCGAAAGCAGGUCAUAGUGAUCCGGUGGUUCUGAAUGGAAGGGCCAUCGCUCAACGGAUAAAAGGUACUCCGGGGAUAACAGGCUGAUACCGCCCAAGAGUUCAUAUCGACGGCGGUGUUUGGCACCUCGAUGUCGGCUCAUCACAUCCUGGGGCUGAAGUAGGUCCCAAGGGUAUGGCUGUUCGCCAUUUAAAGUGGUACGCGAGCUGGGUUUAGAACGUCGUGAGACAGUUCGGUCCCUAUCUGCCGUGGGCGCUGGAGAACUGAGGGGGGCUGCUCCUAGUACGAGAGGACCGGAGUGGACGCAUCACUGGUGUUCGGGUUGUCAUGCCAAUGGCACUGCCCGGUAGCUAAAUGCGGAAGAGAUAAGUGCUGAAAGCAUCUAAGCACGAAACUUGCCCCGAGAUGAGUUCUCCCUGAGACUUAGAGUCUCCUGAAGGAACGUUGAAGACGACGACGUUGAUAGGCCGGGUGUGUAAGCGCAGCGAUGCGUUGAGCUAACCGGUACUAAUGAACCGUGAGGCUUAACCUUACAACGCCGAAGCUGUU